rnacentral:lncRNA from 1 species
GCGGCUUGUGUGGUCUGGGUGGACGCUCCGCUGCCACGCCUCCUGGAGAGCCGAGUAUUGAUUGGACGAGAGGGCGCGGGGGGCGGGACUUAAGGGGGAGGGCGUGGGUUGAUUGGGCAGCCUGGAGGCGUGGCCUUAUUAGCAUAUCAUCAUUGGUCCCCAUAGGGGAGUGGGCGUGGCCUAAGGGAGGGGCGUGGCCUUAUUAGCAUAUUGUCACUGGUCCCUACGGGGGAGGGGGCGGAGCCUUAUUAGCAUAUCCCCUUUAUGAUUUACGGGAGUGGAGGUUGGGGGCGUGGCUUAAUGGAAUGGGCGUGGCUUCAUCUUAUUAGCAUAUCCCCGUUGGUCCCAAUGGCGGUGGAGGAAGGGGGUGUGGCCAGAGGGGGCGUGGCCUUAUCUCAUUAGCAUAUCUCCAUUUUUUUUUAAGGGGGGGUGGAUAGUAAGGGGGUGUGGCCUGAGGGGGGGUGGGGCUUUUGCUCAUUAGCAUAAUAUCUCCAUUGGUCCCUACGGGACAGGAGAGCGGGAGGGGCGUGGCCUAGAUGGGGGCGUGGCCUAAUUAGCAUGCUUCUUAAUUGAGUCCUAUGGGAGAGGGUGUGGGGAGGUGUGGCUUCAGGGAAGGGCGUGGCCUAAUUUUAAUCUCAUUACCAUAUCCCCAACCCCCCCAAGAUUGUUCCUUUUGGGGGGGUUCGGGGCUUGAUUAGCAUACAUUUGCAUAAGGUGCUGGAGAAGCUCCGCCCCCUGGAGCAACGCCUGCGGUACCAGCUGGACAAACUGCUGCGCGCUGCGGCCCACGGAGCGCCGGGUCUGAGCCCAAAAUCCUCCUUUUUCACCCCAAAAAUCCUCGGCUCCCACUUUUGGGGCGAAACGGGGAAAAUUCGGGUCCCAAAGGCGCCGUUUUGGGGCAAAAUGGGGAAAAUUUGGGGGCAAAAAAGUGCGAUUUGGGGUCAAAAUUGGGAUUUUUGGGGCACAUUUGGGGGCAAAAUGGGGAAAAUUUGGGGGCAAAAAUGGCGAUUUUGGGGCAGAACUGGGAUUUUUGGGGCACAAUUGGGCAUUUUGGGGCAAAAUGGGGUCGAUUUGGGGGCAAAAAUUGCAAUUUUGGGUCAAAAUGUUGCCAUUUUGGGGCAGAACUGGGAUUUUUGGGGCACAUUUGGGCCAUUUUGGGGCAAAAUGGGGACAAUUUGGGGGCAAAAAUUGCGAUUUUGGGGCAGAACUGGGAUUUUUGGGGCACAAUUGGGCAUUUUGGGGCAAAAUAAGGGCGGUUUGGGAGCAAAAAAGUGCGAAUUUGGGGCAAAUUGGGGACAAUUUGGGUCCAAAAGGUGCCCCAAAAAUCCAAGUUCUGCCCCAAACUGUCCCCAUUUCCCACCAAAAUGCCCCUAUUUCUCCCCCAAAUCCCCUCAUUUACCCCCCAAAACCCCCCAAAUUUGCCCCAA